rnacentral:rRNA from 1 species
GAUGAACGCUGGCGGCGUGCUUAACACAUGCAAGUCGAACGAGAAAUGGAGACGGAAACCUUCGGGCGGAAGGCUUCAUUUCGAGUGGCGGACGGGUGAGUACGCGUGGGUAACCUGCCUCAUACAGGGGGAUAACAGUUGGAAACGACUGUUAAUACCGCAUAAGACCACAGCACCGCAUGGUGCGGGGGUAAAAACUCCGGUGGUAUGAGAUGGACCCGCGUUCGAUUAGCCAGUUGGCGGGGUAACGGCCCACCAAAGCGACGAUCGAUAGCCGAUCUGAGAGGAUGACCGGCCACAUUGGGACUGAGACACGGCCCAAACUCCUACGGGAGGCAGCAGUGGGGAAUAUUGCACAAUGGGGGAAACCCUGAUGCAGCGACGCCGCGUGAGUGAAGAAGUACUUCGGUAUGUAAAGCUCUAUCAGCAGGGAAGAAAAUGACGGUACCUGAGUAAGAAGCCCCGGCUAACUACGUG